rnacentral:rRNA from 1 species
UACGAAGGGUGCAAGCGUUACUCGGAAUUACUGGGCGUAAAGCGUGCGUAGGUGGUUCGUUAAGUCUGCCGUGAAAGCCCCGGGCUCAACCUGGGAAUGGCGGUGGAUACUGGCGGACUAGAGUGCGGUAGAGGGUGGUGGAAUUCCUGGUGUAGCGGUGAAAUGCGCAGAUAUCAGGAAGAACACCGAUGGCGAAGGCAGCUCUCUGGGACGGUACUGACGCUGAGACGCGAAAGCGUGGGGAGCGAACAGG